rnacentral:rRNA from 1 species
GGGGGUCUUUGUAAUGGGGGGAAGCACGGGGAACUCGUAUUAAUACCGCAUACGACCUACGGGAGAAAGGGGGCAGUUUACUGCUCUCGCUAUUAGAUGAGCCUAAGUCGGAUUAGCUAGAUGGUGGGGUAAAGGCCUACCAUGGCGACGAUCUGUAGCUGGUCUGAGAGGAUGAUCAGCCACACCGGGACUGAGACACGGCCCGGACUCCUACGGGAGGCAGCAGUGGGGAAUAUUGGACAAUGGGGGAAACCCUGAUCCAGCCAUGCCGCGUGUGUGAAGAAGGCCUUUUGGUUGUAAAGCACUUUAAGCAGUGAAGAAGACUCCAUGGUUAAUACCCAUGGACGAUGACAUUAGCUGCAGAAUAAGCACCGGCUAACUCUGUGCCAGCAGCCGCGGUAAUACAGAGGGUGCAAGCGUUAAUCGGAAUUACUGGGCGUAAAGGGAGCGUAGGUGGCUCUAUAAGUCAGAUGUGAAAUCCCCGGGCUUAACCUGGGAACUGCAUCUGAAACUGUAGAGCUAGAGUAUGUGAGAGGAAGGUAGAAUUCCAGGUGUAGCGGUGAAAUGCGUAGAGAUCUGGAGGAAUACCGAUGGCGAAGGCAGCCUUCUGGCAUAAUACUGACACUGAGGCUCGAAAGCGUGGGUAGCAAACAGGAUUAGAUACCCUGGUAGUCCACGCCGUAAACGAUGUCUACUAGUCGUUGGGGUCCCUUGAGGACUUAGUGACGCAGCUAACGCAAUAAGUAGACCGCCCUGGGGAGUACGGCCGCAAGGUUUAAACUCAAAUGAAUUGACGGGGGGCCCGCCACAGCGGUGGAGCAUGGUGUUUAAUUUCGAUGCAACGCGAAGAACCCUUACCUGUUCUUGAACAUUAUUCUAGAAUUCCUUGCAGAAGAUGCGGGGAGUUGCCUUCGGAUUUAAAAUUACAGAUGCCUGCAUGCCUGUCGUCAGCCUCGGUGUCGUGAGAUGUUGGAUAAGUCCCCGCCACGAAGCCAACCUUUGUUCUCUUAAGUUACAAGCGGUUAAGGCUGGAAACUUCUAGGAUACUUGCCAGUGACACCUUGAAGACGCGUGGACGCAGACGCUAGGUCAUCAUUGGCCCUUAGAACAGCUACCACGUGUCUACACUGGUA